GCGGGUGUAACUCAGUGGUAGAGUGUCAGCUUCCCAAGCUGAAGGUCGCGGGUUCGAAUCCCGUCGCCCGCUCCA
rnacentral:tRNA from 1 species